GCUGCUGCAGUCGCUCAACAUGGACAUACAGCAACUAAAGCACUGGUGAAAUCCUCUGAUCCAGCAGCGCUACAGUCCGAGGUGCUCAUUCACUCUUCCUCCGCCUGAUAAGGCUUCCUGAAAAACACACAGCGAGCAAUCAGGCGACAACAAUGGGCUCCGUCAGACGCUUUAAACUUCAGGUAGUCGGCGGUGCACAGCAGCACAGCUUUGUUUUCAUCCGCAGUGAGCAUCAUAAAAGCUUUGACUUUUUGUUUUCAUGCUGUUUGUUUCAACUGCACUGCAGAGUGUAUGGUCUGUUCCAUGAUGGCUAUAAAGUAGAGCUUCUGGUUAAACCAUUCAUGUUUAAGCUGAAUAAGGAAUUGUUAGUCAUUUUUAGCAUGUAUUA